CAGAGGAACGUGCUUGAUGGUGACAGUAGAAAAGAGAGGAAAUUAACAGAUUUAAAGUAAAUAAAAGUGAGUGUAUUAGCAAGCUAACGAACCAACACAGAAGACAGGAUAAGGAGGAGCAACCGGGAGUUUGGAAAAAUCCCAUUUUCCACCUCUAUUCGUCUCGCAAGGUCUUUCCACUGCUCCUGCUGACCUCCUCUCAUAUAUACCAAUGUCCAACAACAGGCCAUCAACACCAGAGGGCUUCAACAUGCAAUAUUGAAGAUUUCCAUUAGUGCUGAAUUGUUUAGGGGAACCGUGAAGGAAACAGACCUGAACCAUCAUCAUCACAGAAAGGAAAGCCGAGAGGAGAGGGGGAGAUGGGGGAGACCACAAGGGAGGAGAUAAAGGAAACAAAGAGAAAAUAGAUCAAAAUUGAAUAAAACAGAAUUCUGUAUAACGGUACAUGAGAAUAUAAGCAUGCGUUGCCUCAAGUUCCCUGUCAGGUCUAAAGCGAGACGGCUUCCCGUGAGAGUGUCAGCGAUGGAAAUUCCAGCACAGCAGGGAACUCAAGAUGUUUGACUGUUUGACUGGCACACAAAGAUUCAAACACACAGACAGUCGUGUUUAAUUUACACUCCCUAACAAGAAGCCGAUGUGAGUCAGCAGUUCUCUGCACUGAACGCCAGAAUGUUGCCAGGGAGGGACUGUUCUUAAAUACAACAGCUGCUCAAAUGUGGAACAACAAGAUGAAAAGACGAGUGAACAAUCCAAAAAUUGUGGAAGCGGCCCGUCUCCUGCACAACUCUGAGGGAAACUGCAAGCGCCUUGAUGCUGAGCAAGGGAACAGGAAUGCAUUGAACUGUAUAAAUUGAGAUGUAUUGUUUACCCCAGGCUGUGAGACGUUUGAACUCUGACUAAAAUUCAUCAGCACCGCUCCAUGAAACAUAGCUGUUGGAAUUGAGGCAGAGUGCACUGGCAGCAGAUGAAUUGGCGUUCUGAAUGGUGUCACUAUAGAUCUGAUGUCAAAUGAGGAAGAUUGCAGCUUUGAGGGGGUGUCGCGGUGGAUUGUGCAACCAAAGUUUCGGCAGCCAGGAGCUCACCGACCUCUUUUGUACGCUGCAGACAAGGCUGGAGGCCAAAGUACAAAACACUGCAUCACAGGCAUCUGUACAAUGGAUGAUGUUCUGACAGCCGCCACCACCACAUGACUCAGAGGUGGACAGAAACUUCGUCCCGCAGCCCAGCAUUUAAUGUUUUGUAAAUGGUUUUUCACAUUUGCCUUUUU